ensembl:snoRNA SNORA75 Small nucleolar RNA SNORA75
CACUUGCCACAAGAAGAGACUAUUCACAGAGCUAGCAUGUGCUUGCUUUCAGUCUUGGGAGGUGUGUUUUGCUGUUCUGUGAGCCAAGA